UCAGAAAAGAACAGGGAAGGGGCGAGAAAAGGAGCGUGGAAAGUUCCAGGCGGCCGCCAUUUUGGGCCAUGAGGGACGAGCGUGGAGAGAUUCCAAAGAUGCACAAGUUGGAGUGAGAGUAAGACUCCCCAUCCCAAUAUAUCAAGGAUGGAAGACUGUGAGUUGAAAUGAUCCAAAGCCACGUGGCCAGCUGGUGACCGGGGGAGCAGAUGCAGGGAGCUGGGUGCCUGUGGCGCUGACUUUCUUCCUCUUCUGAAGUUUUUCUUUUCAGGGAAACAUGAAAACCUUCUUGAUCUGCCGUGUUUCCACAAAGACCAGAGCUCACACCAGGAGUUUUAGGAUUUUGAGCACACCUGGCUCCAGCAAAAGCAAUCAGAGCUCAGCAGUGUCGGCAUUUGAAGAUUCCUGGAGCUGCAUCUUUCCUCAUGCACGGGUUCAAACUCCCACACUAAGUCAGAAUUAAUGACAAGGAUGGAAACGUGA